rnacentral:rRNA from 1 species
GGUGAACCUGCGGAUAUGCAUAUCGAUAAGCGGAGGAAGAUUCCGUAGGUGAACAUGCAGAGACGCAUAUCAAUAAGCGGAGAAUGAUUACUUUCAAGAACGGAUCUCUUGGUUCUGGCAUCGAUGAAGAACGCAGCGAAAUGCGAUAAGUAAUGUGAAUUGCAGAAUUCAGUGAAUCAUCGAAUCUUUGAACGCACAUUGCGCCCCUUGGUAUUCCGGGGGGCAUGCCUGUUCGAGCGUCAUUACAACCCUCAAGCUCUGCUUGGUAUUGGGCGUCCCCGGCGACGGGGUGCCCUAAAAUCAGUGGGCGGUGCCGUCUGGCUCUAAGCGUAGUAAAUCUCUCGCUCUGGAUGCCCGGUGGAUGCUCGCCAGAACCCCCCAUUUUUACAGGUUGACCUCGGAUCAGGUAGGGGAUACCCGCUGAAACUUAAGCAUAUCAAUAAGCCGGG